rnacentral:rRNA from 1 species
AUUGAACGCUGGCGGCAGGCCUAACACAUGCAAGUCGAGCGGAGCGGCAGACGGGUGAGUAAUGCCAAGGAAUCUGCCUGGUAGUGGGGGAAAACGGACGAAAACGGGAGAUAAUAGCGCAUACGAGCAGAUGAGCCUAGGGCGGUUUAGCUAGUUGGUGGGGGAAAGGCCUACAAAGGCGACGAUCCGUAACUGGUCUGAGAGGAUGACCAGUCAAACUGGAACUAGGACACGGUCCGAACUCCUUCGGGGGGCGGCGUUGGGGAAUAUUGGACAAUGGGCGAAAGCCUCAUCCAGCCAUGCCGCGUGUUUGAAGAAGGUUUUCGGAUUUUAAAGCACUUUAAGUUGGGCGGCGUUACCAACAGAAUAAGCCCCGGCUAACUUCGUGCCAGCCGCCGCGGUAAUUC